AAAAGUCUUUGUGGAUGCUCCGUUGAUACUCCGCGGAUGAUCCACGGAACUCCGUGGAACUCACGUGGAUGAUCCCGAAUUUCCCAAAAUCAUGUAUUUAUAACAAAUAUUUGUCUAAAUAAUCAGUAAAUGAAUAAAGUGCUCCUCCAAAACUAUUUUAUUUGAUUUUUCUUUAAAAUUAUGCGUAAUUUCACUUCGUGGUAAGGUCUCCGUGGAUGCUCCGUGGAUGCUCCGCGAAUGAUUCACGGAACUCUUAACGCAAAAAUGGAAAAUAGCAUGUUUGAAGCAAAUUGUUCAGUUCAUAAGCUGCCCCUUAUCGCUUUUCUAAAUUCAUUAGUCACGUCGUUCUUGCUUAAAUUUCUAAAUUUUGGAAAUUGGUUAAGUGUCCGUGGAGUUUUCGUGGAUGAAUACCCGGACACUUAAAAACAUUUUUGGUUCUUUGGUAUUUCUUAGGUUAAUUAAAUUUUCAUUUUUAAUUAAUAAAUCAUCAUAAAAGUUAAUUACGAGCUCAGAAAACUCAAUAUUUUCAAAUAUAUUCCAAAAUCUAAACUCGCCACCUCGCCAGAAUAGCCACUGCUGCGAUUCAAACUUUUGAAAAGCGCGCGCACUCUCACUAGCCGCAGCGAGCCAAUGAGCGUUGCGCUUGGCUGUUACUGCUGUUUGUUGACAGACGCAGACGGCCGACGACCGCGAGCGCGCGCGAUCUGAGCGCAACGGAAAAGCCGUUGGGCGACGCCGCCGCGUAAUUAAUGUCAGUUUUCGGCCGCAAAUUCUUCCCCAAGUCGUCCAGCAAUAUUCUUAUGAUGUCGCGGUGAUUGCUGUGAAAUACGAAUCAAGUUCAACCGUCCCAGCAAACAUGCCGCAAAUCAAAGAAGAUCCGUGCCCGCGGCUUGCUUUUGUGGCAGUUGUUGCGAGCUAAGGAGGCAAGCUCGUCGAACCAGUGGCUGGCUCAAUUGUCCGCAUUGCUCUCCUCUGGAAUUGUCUGGGAGUCUGACAACAGCAAAACAGAGCUGAGAAGCUGACGGAGGCUUCAUAUCUUCGCUGUCACCGUUCCAGUCUUGAGUCUGCUGGUGCUUCUGGACUCGGAUGGAAUCAAUGCGACUCGAGUUCGAGACGAAUAGCUACGUGUGACAGGACGGACAGGUCUUGGAAAUGCUGGACCACUACUUUGAAGAAGAUUGAGUGUGGUACUGUGUAUUGUGUUUUUAAAUGGGUCUAUUUUUGAGCUCAAUUGUUGUAGUUUAUACAUAAUUCAUUUUAAGGCUAAUUAUGUUGCAUACAUAUACUUGUAUUGACUGUAAUAAUGUUUGUAUUACAAUUAAAUCAAAUUUUCUUGCAUGAAAGUUUUGGCAGGUUCAUAUUUUAAAUUAAAGCCAUUAUAAGUUUUAAAUUCACCAUUUUUUGCAAAAGCCUCUAGUGUUCGAAGUCAGCGCAGCCAUAUAUAUGUACUUCCAAGUUUCAUACUCAUGCACUUUGGUUAAGGAUUUAAUUCUACUGAUUUAUUUUCCGGAUUUUAAAUUAUUUAUUUUGAAUCUGAAAACCAAAAUCAGUUUAGCCAAUCUCCGUAUAAACAUGUAAAUAAUAUUUUUUGAACAAAUUUGACGUUUUUACGGUGAUUGGCUAGACUGACUUAUGUUUUUAGCACAUCAAAUCAAAUCAAUUUAAGGGUUUUAAACGCAGAGUGGCAUGAUCGUGUCUUUAUUCUCAGUGGAAGUGCAUUAAAAUCAAAGUAGCAGUUGGCGCCAGACAGCCACUAAGGGGUUUUUGAAACUGUUGAAUGUUCAACAAUUUUAGCUUUUUUAAAUUGAUUGUCAUCUCUUGUUCCUCAUCACCUUAUGGCAACAACCAACAACUGUAAAUUGAUAAAAUUAUCUGUAUCGAUCGAUUGUUAAUGUGUAUUUAUGUAAUAUUUUUGUAAAAGAAAUAGUAUAAAUAAAUAACAAUUUUAAAAUUCAAA